UCGCGAAACCUUUGCAAUACACGAAAGUGUGACAGGGUCAUCCCGAGUGCCGACCGCUGAGGUUGGCUUUUACCCAGUCUAGAACGCUGGGGGAAUAAGGAGAGGGCAAGUCUGGUGUCAGCCGCCGCGGUAAUACCAGCUCUCCGAGUGGUGUGGACGUUUAUUGGGCCUAAAGCAUCCGUAGCUGGCUGAACAAGUCCCCUGUUAAACCCACCGAUUUAAUCGUUGGUCUGCGGGGGAUACUGUUCGGCUAGGGGGACGAGAGAGGCAGGCGGUAUUCCCGGGGUAGGGGUGAAAUCCUAUAAUCCCGAGAAGACCACCAGUGGCGAAGGCUGCCUGCUAGAACGCGCCCGACGGUGAGGGAUGAAAGCUGGGGGAGCGAACCGGAUUAGAUACCCGGGUAGUCCCAGCUGUAAACGAUGCAGACUAGGUGUUUGGACGGCCACGUGCCGUUCUAGUGCCGCAGGGAAGCUGUUAAGCCUGCCGCCUGGGGAGUACGGGUCGCAAGAUUGAAACUUAAAGGAAUUGGGCGGGGGAAGCGACCACGGUAA
rnacentral:rRNA from 1 species